rnacentral:rRNA from 1 species
GACGAACGCUGGCGGCGUGCUUAACACAUGCAAGUCGAGCGAGAAAGCUCCUUCGGGAGUGAGUACAGCGGCGAACGGGUGAGUAACACGUGGGCAACCUGCCCCAAGGAGCGGGACAAC